GUAAUCCUGACAGAUGACAGGAGUUCAUAAAUAAUGAGAGGCUUCCUCCCCACAUUUCCAAUCAGUGCGAACAAAAAAAAAAAAAAAAGCUAUUUCUGGGUAAAGCUACUUACAUACUGAACAAUGUACAGACUUCAACAACUGCAAAAGGUAAGCCAGUGUAGUUUUAUGCGACUUGACAGAGGAAUUAUUUUAACACCAAAUGUUGACAGAAGCAGUGAAAAUAUGCAUUUGAGCAUAGUUGACAUGCCAGUGAAUAUGCAUCUUCAAACUUAAAAAAAAAAA